rnacentral:rRNA from 1 species
UACGGAGGGGGUUAGCGUUGUUCGGAAUGACUGGGCUUAAAGCGCGCGUAGGCGGAUCGCAAAGUUGGGUGUGAAAGCCCGGUGCUCAACCCUUGAAUGGCCUUCGAGACUCGCGGUCUGGAGUUCGAGAGAGGUGGGUGGAAUUCCGAGUGUAGAGGUGAAAUUCGUAGAUAUUCGGAGGAACACCAGUGGCGAAGGCGGCCAACUGGCUCGACACUGACGCUGAGGCGCGAAAGCGCGGGUAGCAAACAGG